CGGGUAGUUAAGUCAGAAGUGAAAUCCAAGUAGCUCAACUAGUGAACUGCUUUUGAAACUGAUUACCUAGAAUAUGGGAGAGGUAGAUGGAAUUUCUGGUGUAGGGGUAAAAUCCGUAGAGAUCAGAAGGAAUACCGAUUGCGAAGGCGAUCUACUGGAACAUUAUUGACGCUGAGACGCGAAAGCGUGGGGAGCAAACAGGAUUAGAUACCCUGGUAGUCCACGCCCUAAACGAUGUACACUAGUUGUUGUGAGGCUCGACCUUGCAGUAAUGCAGUUAACACAUUAAGUGUACCGCCUGGGGAGUACGGUCGCAAGAUUAAAACUCAAAGGAAUAGACGGGGACCCGCACAAGCGGUGGAGCAUGUGGUUUAAUUCGACGAUACACGAAGAACCUUACCUGGACUUGACAUAGUAAGAACUUUCUAGAGAUAGAUUGGUGUCUGCUUGCAGAAACUUAUAUACAGGUGCUGCACGGCUGUCGUCAGCUCGCGUCGUGAGAUGUUGGGUUAAGUCCCGCAACGAGCGCAACCCUCGUCAUUAGUUGCUAACAGUUCGGCUGAGAACUCUAAUGAGACUGCCUACGCAAGUAGGAGGAAGGUGAGGACGACGUCAAGUCAUCAUGGCCCUUACGUCCGGGGCUACACACGUGCUACAAUGGGGUAUACAAAGAGCCGCAAUACGGUGACGUGGAGCAAAUCUCAAAAAUAUCUCCCAGUUCGGAUUGUAGUCUGCAACUCGACUACAUGAAGUUGGAAUCGCU
rnacentral:rRNA from 1 species